rnacentral:lncRNA from 1 species
CUAGCUGGGUGAAUUCAGAUAAUGAAGAGUGAUCUGAAUUGAUGCAAAGAUAGAUCAAGGGUUGUCAAAUUGUUCCUCCAUCUAGCUGUAUGUAUACAUUUGAGUUCUUGACUAUGUUGUCUUUGAUGGAGAAAAUGAUAGCUUUGCAUUCUGAUAGGUAUCCACAGAUCAAGCCCCACUAGUCUUUCUGAUCCAGUAGCAUAAUACUGUCAGGUCAAAAGCAAUUCCCAUAUGCGUCCUAAUUUAACAAAUUAUUUAAUUUAAUAAAUGAUUGGAGCCAAUCCUGAUGCUUUGUAUUAUCGUCGGUUUUCAUGAUCAAGUACAAUACUAUUUGAAACAGGUUUUUCUCAUUCCUUGGUUUCUGAAAGAGCUAUGUGCUGUAGGAAGUCACCCAUGGCAUCCAUUUCUCUUUAAGGUUCUCCCGAGGUUGGCUGUUGUCCCCUAAACAGUAUUUGGCCAUCUAUAUACCUUUACUCACUUAGAAAUAAAGCCUGACCAAAACCAAUGUCUGAGCUCAGGACCCAUAACUCUUGGUGUCCAUCUCUCUCAUAGCUUGGCCUCUUGCCUGUUUCUUCUGCUUCGAAUGGGUGUUCAAGAUCCUGUUGCUAAUGCAGGCAUCCCACCAAUGUACUCCAGAUAUAGGCAAGCUCCUUGCCUUCCACUUAGAGUCUGGAGAAGGACUUGUAGUAUCUCGCAUCCCUUACUGUGCUAGAGAAGAGGAGGUAAGCAGGGAUUAAGGGGAGGGAGCUUAAGAUCAAGGGAUAGAGUUAGGCAGAAUAAUGGCAUCAUUGACUUGAACGUUUUAACUAUUUAAUCUCUAAAAUGUCAAGGAGUGCACAAACCAGGUGGGGACAUUUUAAAAAGGAAUGGCCAGGCAGCAUCCUCCCCUGUAAGUUUCUCCAGCUGUUGUGUAUCUCUCCUUCUGUCAAGCUUUUCACUUAGGCCCCUAAUCAAAUGUAUACACAUCAUAUAGGACUCGGCCUUGCCACAGGUGACAGUGCACUGCUGGAAGACGAUGCUCACUUCCUCCUUGGCGCUCUCCAUUGUUCAUCUCUUCUACCUCACUCGACCUCCAUCACUCCUUAAGUCUCGACGGCCCUGGCUUCACCCCAUCCCUUUGCUCUUCUCCUAUUUGUCAUCUUGGCAGCAGCCAUGCCUUCAGUGAGUCUACUCAGUUCAUCAAGAACCCAGGUCUCUCUCCUGACUAACCAUCCUGAACCUUUUGCCAGCAAAGGGAUACUGCCACUUCCACAGCCCACAAACAUCUCAUACUCAACAUGCCCGAACUUGAGCCCAUCAUUUGCCUGACUGCCAACCACCACCAUCGUGAAACACAAUCCUCUCCCCGCAUUCCUUUCCUCAGUGAAUGAGUCCAACUUCUAUCCAGGCACUAAUCCAGAAUGUGGAUUUGGGCUUAAUUGAUUCUCAUUCUCUUCCCCCUGCGUGUGUGUGUGUGUGUGUGUGUGUGUGUGUGUGUGUGUGUGUGUAGGUCACACUGCACAGUAGAGAUGCAUAUGUGUGCUUGUGCACAUGGAGGCCAAAGGAAAACCUAACGUGCAAUGCCUCAGGUGCAGCUCCAGGGUCUCACUGGUCCAGAGCUCGCUAAUUAGACUUGGCUGCUCUGCUGGACAGUGCUGGCAUUCGUAGUUAGUACCACCAUGCCCAGCUUUUUCACAUCCAUGCUGUGGAUUAAACUUGGUACUCAGGCUCACAGAGUGAGCUCUUUGCUGACGGAACUACCUCCCCAAUGCCUGCUGAAACUUUUAUGAGGAUCAUAUUUUGUCAUCUAUAAAAUGUAUAUGUUUCUCAAGGUUGCCAAAAGGAACUUAUAAUCCUAAUAGUAGUUGGUGUUACUGGGAGAUUUCUAUGUGUCAAAGGCUAUUUAAGAACUUUAGAUAUAUUCAUUUAAUUUUGCAUUAAGGUUAUGAUAACUAUGAUUGGAGACCCUGGGCAUCGACUCUGAGAUCUCAACAUGCUAAUUCAACUUCCUAUCACUGAACCACAUCUGUGCAUUUUAAAGAUGAGAAAAGCAAAGUAGAGAACUGUGAGAACUUACUGUAGGUUGUGCUGUGGAUAAAGGAGCCCUGACUCAGUGAGACAGCUACAUGUGCUUCUGUGGCGUACAACUGUCCUUUCCUCUGGAUACUCAUUCCUCAGAACCUUGAAAGACACCCAAGGCUACAUACAGGCAAUAGGUGAAUGGUGGAGUUAGGACAAACCCAAAGUGUUUGCCCUAAUCUGGUCACCGAAUACUUUGGACACCACAUGGGGGGGGGUGCGGGAGGGAGGGUGGGGGGGGGGUUCCACAUACACUGACUAUAUUUCUCUAUUUUUUCACUGCUGUAAUAAAACACUCAAGGUUGGGUAAUGUAAAAAGAAAUGAAGUUUAUACAGCUCACUUUUGGAGGCUGAAAGUCCAAGGUAAAGUGGAACUUACAAAGCAGGAAAGGCCAGACUAGUCUUAAGGUUCUCCUGAGGAGAGCCUUCUUCUCUUUCUACCACAAACCCUCCUAAGAUUACCCAUUGCUAUCUUCUGGAGGCAAAAGCCCCAUUGACCUAAUUAUUACAGAUCAAGCCCUACCUGUUAUGCCUUCAAUAUCCCUUUCUUAGUCAGGGUUUCUAUUCCUGCACAAACAUCAUGACCAAGAAGGAAGUUGGAGAGGAAAGGGUUUAUUCGGCUUACACUUUCACAUUGCUGUUCAUCAGCAAGGAAGUCAGGACUGGAACUCAAGCAGGUCAGAAAGCAGGAGCUGAUGCAGAGGCCAUGGAGGAAUGUUCUUUACCGGCUUGCUUCCCCUGACUUGCUCAGCCUGCUCUCUUAUAGAACCAAGACUACCAGCCCAUAGAUGGUCCCACCCACAAGGGGCCUUUCCCCCUUGAUCACUAAUUGAGAAAAUGCCUUACAGUUGGAGCUCAUGGAGGCAUUUCCUCAACUGAAGCUCCUUUCCCUGUGAUAACUCCAGCUGUGUCAAGUUGACACAGAACUAGCCAGUACAGUCCCAUUAUCUCUUAGCACUAGAGCAUCACCUACCAAGCUCCCAACCUAAGAAUCCUUAGGCUAUAACCAUGGUACCACCCAAAUCUCCACUUGAAGCUGGCACCAGUCACUACAGGCUAAGGCUCAGACCCACAACACUACCACCCACUUCGGAUGCUAGUCACAAGAUUGAAUUGUGUCCUAGGCUUUGAGAUGACCUGACUCUGAGCUAGAGUUUGAUUAGGUUGCUAGAGUAGCUCAUUAGAACCCAACAAACAUAUAUGGCAACCUAUUAUAGAAGCUGUAAUGGAGGGUGCUGAUACAGAAGCUGUUCUCAGAGAGAAAGGGAGGGAAAAGCCUUCUCUGCGCAUGCCAACCUCUAGGCAUCACCACAGUAUUAGCUGUCUGAAUACUCUUUAAAUCCUGGCAGUCUGGCAUUUCUGAAAACUUCAUUAUGAAUAUAUAAUUUAUCAAAUAAUUAGCCAUUUAUGCACAUACAAGCCUGCAGCUCCUCUCCUUCUCCUGGAGGUUUGAUGGGGACUAGCUGUACCUUUAUUGUACUUAUGUUUACUAAUAUUCUAUUAUUUGCCACAGUCUGAAUUGUAAAUUUUAUAGACAUUGUCACAGUUAAAUGUCAGUACAUCUACUGAGUUGAAAUUUUUAUCCUGCUUAUGAAUAGGGUAAACUGAGGAAGAGAAGGAUUAAGCAAAUUCCACAGUGUUGCCUCUCUGUUGUAAAUGUUGUAGAAAGUAGAAUAGGGAUUUGAAUCUAGUCCCUGCUACCUUAGCUUGAGCUCUGAACCAGAACAAUAAACUGCCUCCCGAGGCAUUAGAAGAUACACAGUACUUUUAAUCCUGGCUAGGGGACUGAACAAGACCCCAUAGCAUGAAUAACUACACGUUCAUUAAAUGCACAGGGCAAGUCAACCAUUGCCUGCAAAACAGAAUGGUGAUCAUAUACCCACUCUAGUAGGGAGAGAGUGUGCUUACAUUCCAUGUGUCAGUUGUGCAUGUCCACGUGCCCUGCUCGGCAGUCACUCCUCUCUCUCUCUCUCUCUCUCUCGUUCAUGUUUUUUUUUUUUUUUUUUUUUUUGCUCAUCUGGCAGUCAGCAAAUCCCAACAAUCAUGCUGCCUCAGUCCCUUACAGCACUGGGUUUACAGAUGUGCACAGCACCUGACUUUUUAAACCGGUGUUGGGGAUUUAAACUCAGGACUUCAUGCUUGUGCAAGCUCCCUUCUCCACUGGGCAUCUCCUCAACCCAGGAGAGACUUGUGAGCUGGGGUUGGAUUCUAGUAAACUAAACACAGCAAUCAGGGAUCAGGACUCUGAUCUGAUGAAGGAAAGAGACACGGCAGUGCAGGGAUCAAGCCAGGAGUCAUUUUAUGCUCCAGAAAUGCAGCCAGUGGAUACAAUGUUAAUUGUAAAGCUGGUACAAUGGAGAAGUGUGUGGUUUUGGUGUGGGAGCCUAAGUCCCAGUAGCCUUAGUAUUCAGUUCACAAGGUGGUAGCUGGUGUGUUUGUGUGAUGGCGGUAGUGGAGAGAGUGCCUUCUGCCUCAUAUCUAAAAGUCAAAUACACUAAACAGCUGGAGGACUUCUGAGGAUCCUAAGAUUCCCAAGUUGAAGCUGUACCCCUGAUAUGUUAAGCAGAGCAAGCGACACACGGGGAAGAGUUUUAAUUUAAGGAAUGUCUCAGAAUGAUGGCUGAGACAGGGCGAUUCAAGCAUGCUCACCCUCAGAGCCCUUCGUGGAGAAGAAGCACCAUCCUGUGCUCUUGUGUAGCGACAGGUUCAGGAACCUGAGCAGCUUCUGCCGACCCUCACUGUCCCAUGCUCCCAGCUUACUGCUUUGACACAGAAAACUCUUUUCAUUUGUGCUCAUUAAAAAGAUUUAUUUUUCAAUAUAGGUGGUUUUAAUUUUUUUUUUUUUCGUCUUCAAAGAAGCUGGCCACACAUAAAGAACUAGACUCUGUCAGGUACAGAAAUCAACUUCCAUCCUGUAAUUACCAAGCUGAACAGGUUACAUCAAAGGUAGGGCAUUUGUAUUGCUGUAAGACGUUUCAAAGAAUACCUCUACUGCAGGCAGUAUGGAGGUCUGGUGUCUCACAUUUAAUGCCAUUUAAAUGAUCAAGAAAUACUUCCCAUGAACACAUGACAAGUAGUGGAGUUUUCCCAGAAAAAGUUUGCAUUUUUUAGAAAACAAGGGGUGGGGGAGCAUUCUAUCUGUUCAUAGGUCUCAUUUUCUGGUCUAAAAGACCUAACUUGCCUAAAAUACUGAUUUGGGGUUUUGUUUGUUUCAAUUAUAACAAAAUAUCUUUGUAAACCUCUUCCUGUUUCUCGGAACCAAUUAGAUGAUUCCCACUCAGACGUGUCUUUGAAGUGAAAAGAAACUAUGGAGCUGAGGUCCUCAUUGGAGCAUCUGUCCCUGUGGUUCACAGAGCCUCACACUGGCGUUUAGAACAGAGAAAACACAUCAACACUCUACACUGAACUUGGAUAUAGUUGCUAUAAAAAAAAACAUUUCUCUCAAAGUUUAAAAAGGGUGACAACAUCAGUGCCAAGAAACAUCAAAGGCGUUGUUUAGAGCUUUCAGGGACUGUGCCAAGCUGCCUUCUAAACACCACUUACCAUUCUCACGUGAUGUAGUUAACGAGCUGGACCCUGCAGGGUCCUAAAGGGCUCCUCCUGAUCUUCUAUCCAGGUGAUUGUGCCCAAACCAGUUUGCACAUUGCAAUCCUCAGGUGUCCAAACACGACUCCCAUAGACGGUUCAUUUCCAGACUGCUCUUUUGCACUGAAGAGAGAAUGGUGGAGAUGUAAUCUUGGGACCUACCUUGACUAGCCAUACAGACAUGUGGAGACAACAGGAAGUAACCCUGUUCUGCCUUUGCUGUGGAGAACACGGCUCAUUCUUGAUCAAGAGUGUUCCUCUUCCAGAAAGGCUGUGGAAGAGCUGGGAUAACUUGUAAAGUUAAAAAGGACACCAAAAUAAAUGUGUGUGCUUAGCUUUUCAUUUUCAUUUAUUCUAUAAAAAUUUUAAUUUGAAUGCAAUUGUUAGCUUGUUUUCAUCUUUGUUUUAAUUAGAUAGAAGUAGUUUGUUUACACAGCAGGAGCUUUCUUAAAAAGGCUCCAGUGAACAAAAGAUUCAAAGUGGGCCUGUGGUCAAGUGUGGAAAGGUAAAUUGUAGGGAUCUC